rnacentral:rRNA from 1 species
GCGCUUCACUUCGGUGAAAGCGGCGGACGGGUGAGUAACACGUAGGUUACCUGCCCCCGGGUGAGGGACAACCGAGGGAAACCUCGGCUAAUACCACAUAUGGUCUACGGAUCAAAGGCUUCGGCCGCCUGGGGAUGGGCCUGCGUCCCAUUAUUUAAUCCUUGUUGGUGGGGUAAUGGCCUACCAAGGGUACGAUGGGUAGCUGGUCUGAGAGGAUGAUCAGCCACACUGGAACUGAGACACGGUCCAGACUCCUACGGGAGGCAGCAGUGGGGAAUAUUGCGCAAUGGGCGAAAGCCUGACGCAGCCACGCCGCGUGAGUGAUGAAGGCCCCAGGGUCGUAAAGCUCUGUCGGGGGGGAAGAAGUUCUGACGGUACCCCCCAAGAAAGCACCGGCUAACUCCGUGCCAGCAGCCGCGGUAAUACGGAGGGUGCAAGCGUUGCUCGGAAUCACUGGGCGUAAAGCGUACGCAGGCGGCCUGUCAAGUCGGGUGUGAAAGCCCGGGGCUCAACCCCGGAACUGCAUUCGAAACUGGCAGGCUUGAGUACGGGAGAGGGAAGCGGAAUUCCUGGUGUAGAGGUGAAAUUCGUAGAUAUCAGGAGGAACACCCGUGGCGAAAGCGGCUUCCUGGCCCGAUACUGACGCUCAUGUACGAAAGCG